UUUGUAAAUGUUUAUAUUUUGAACAUUGAUGAACAACCUAGUUAAAAGGUACGUGUAAUGAAGUAACUUGACUUUUACAAAGAUCUUACAAUGGAUUUCCAAUUUUAGUUAAGAUAUAUGCUUCACAUAAAUAAAUUAGUUAUGUGAUUAUGACCAAAUUUACAGGUCUUAACAAAUUUAUAAUUUCUAUAAUGUUAUAACCUUUAUUUGGGAUGUUGGUGACCAAAAUUAAUUUGGUUAGUAGAGAGGGGUUCCUGAAUUUUACUAUAAAGUAUUUUGUAUUGAAUUAUCUAUUUAUUUAUUUUUGUAAAAAGAGAAAGUAUGUCAUGUGACCACUAAAAAAAGUGAAGACCACCAACAAACA
rnacentral:lncRNA from 1 species